AUUGAACGCUGGCGGCAUGCUUUACACAUGCAAGUCGAACGGUAACAGCACUUCGGUGGCUGACGAGUGGCGAACGGGUGAGUAAUACAUCGGAACGUGCCUAGUAGUGGGGGAUAACUACUCGAAAGAGUAGCUAAUACCGCAUGAGAUCUAAGGAUGAAAGCAGGGGACCUUCGGGCCUUGCGCUACUAGAGCGGCUGAUGGCAGAUUAGGUAGUUGGUGGGAUAAAAGCUUACCAAGCCGACGAUCUGUAGCUGGUCUGAGAGGACGACCAGCCACACUGGGACUGAGACACGGCCCAGACUCCUACGGGAGGCAGCAGUGGGGAAUUUUGGACAAUGGGCGCAAGCCUGAUCCAGCAAUGCCGCGUGCAGGAUGAAGGCCUUCGGGUUGUAAACUGCUUUUGUACGGAACGAAAAGCCCUCUUCUAAUACAGGGGGGUCAUGACGGUACCGUAAGAAUAAGCACCGGCUAACUACGUG
rnacentral:rRNA from 1 species